UUGCUGAUCUACAUGUAAAUACAAUCGUAACUACUCUGUCAUUUCAUUUUUUCGCCAGCGGAAAUGACCGAGUAGUUACGAUUGCAUGUAAAUAGUGCACUCGGAAGGCCUCGGCUGCUAAGUAAACUAUCGAACUAUCGAACAACUCUGUUGUUUUUGGAAAUAAGAGCAGCGGAAGUAUUUGUGAGAUGAAAGUCACUUGAUAUGAAUUGAAUCUAAUGUCAUUUUCCAUUAGCAACAUGUUUUAUGAGUAAAGCAGGUAAAUAAUUAAACUAUGUAAAUGGAGCCAGGGUCAUAUUGAUUCAGAACCCUCUUUUUGUGCUGCUCUUAUUGUAAUCCUAGAUUUCAUGUGGUGAUCUCUUGUAAGCGUCCCAAGUCAAGAGUUUCUGUAAGACUCCUCACAUCGUGUGUGACAAGCGGCGGAGCGAAUCAGAAACCCAGAAACCAUAGGCUAGGAAAGAUGGGACUAAAAACUGGAAAAGCCGGUAAAAUCGUCGAUAAAACGAUCGCCCCUGCAUUGAGGCUGCAUUCUAUAGAUAUUCAGUAUGGGAUAAUUAAACGUACGAUUAACACAUACCGAACGCAGUAAACUGAGGUUUGGUGAGACGAGGGCCCCUUGAAGCGGUACCAGUUAUGACACGAUAAGAUGAUAGUGUUAUACAAGUGUAAGGAA